rnacentral:misc_RNA from 1 species
AAGUCGUAACAAGGUUUCCGUAGGUGAACCUGCGGAAGGAUCAUUAUAGAAUUAUAGGUGAGGGUUGUCGCUGGCCUCCUCGGGGGCAUGUGCACGCCCGAGCUCUUAAAUCCACAACACACCUGUGAACCCACCGUGGGCCUCUCGCGGGGCUUACCUUUAUAUACUCUGAAUGUCUCAUAGAACGUCGAAUUGUUUGCCUUAAAAACGCAAUCAAAUACAACUUUCAACAACGGAUCUCUUGGCUCUC